AUUGAACGCUGGCGGCAGGCUUAACACAUGCAAGUCGAGCGAGCGGCGGACGUGUGAGUAAUGUCGGGGACACUGCCUUAUGGAGGGGGAUAACUACUGGAAACGGUAGCUAACACCGCAUACCAUCAUAUGUUCCCAGAUGGGAUGAGCUAGUAGGUGGGGUAAUGGCUCACCUAGGAGACGAUCCCUAGCUGGUCUGAGAGGAUGACCAGCCACACUGGAACUGAGACACGGUCCAGACUCCUACGUGAGGCAGCAGUGGGGAAUAUUGCACAAUGGGCGCAAGCCUGAUGCAGCCAUGCCGCGUGUGUGAAGAAGGCCUUCGGGUUGUAAAGCACUUUCAGCGAGGAGGCGUUACUCGCAGAAGAAGCACCGGCUAACUCCGUGCCAGCAGCCGCGGUAAUUC
rnacentral:rRNA from 1 species